rnacentral:tRNA from 3 species
AGCUUUAUAUUCAUUAAUGAUAUAAAAUUGCAAAUUUUAAGGAGUAGAAAUUUCUAUUAAGGCUU